rnacentral:lncRNA from 1 species
CAAGCAGAUCAGAUAAAUUCCAGCUUGCAACAAAAUGGAGUUACCCUGAGGAGUCAGAAGAUAAGUCUCAUUCCAUUGGCAAGCUUCAUAUAAGUGUCUACACAGUUCGCUUGUGUUGAAGGGUGGGUCAGAAUUUCCUCCUAAGACAUUGUAUAUAACAUACUUUUAGCUGUCAUCUGCCAUCAAUUCUAAUACACACAUGUCACAGUAUCAGGAUUGCUAACCCCUACAACCCCUGAAAACUGUCGACGUUAAGAUUUGCUAGCUGUGUGCUUUAGCUCUGUGUCACUGUAACAAGUGUCUGGGAUAAUCAAAUUCUUCAAAAUAAAAAGUCUCUCUCUCUCCCUCUCUCUCUCUCUCUCUCUCUCUCUCUCCCUCUCCCUCUCUCCCUCCCUCUCUCUCUCUCUCUCUCUCUCUCUCUCUCUCUCUCUCUCUCUCUCGUGUGUGCAUGCGUGAAUUCAGGGACCUUCAGAGUCCAGAAGAGCGCAUCCGAUCCCCUGGAGCUGAAGUUCCUUGUAGUCGGAAGCUGCCCGACUUAGGUGCCAGGAGCUGAACUUAGCUCUGAUAGAAAAGCAGUACAAAGUCUUAACAGCCUUGAACUCACCAUGACACUGCUUUCCAGGUGCUAAGAUUAUAGGCGUGUGAGUUCAAGGCCAGACAACAUAUAGACAGUGAGUUCUAGGCCAGCUAUCAGUAUUUGAGUGAUACCCCACCUCAAAAACAAACAAAAACAAAACAAAAGAAAGACUGACUUAUAAUUCUCAAGCUUCUAGGAUCCCAAUGUUCUCUUCAAGGACAUGCUUUCAACUGAUGGAAGACUUCUGUGCUGGCUAAUUGUAUGUCAAACUGACAUAGGCUAAAAGGCAUCUAAUUGAGAAAAUACCUCCGUAAGACUGGACUGGAAACAAGUCUGUAGAGCAUUUUCUGUUUUGAUGGAGGGGACCCUUGGGCUGAUGAGUGGGGUGGGGGAGGGGGUGAGG